CCUACGGGGGGCAGCAGUGGGGAAUUUUGGACAAUGGGGGCAACCCUGAUCCAGCCAUGCCGCGUGCGGGAAGAAGGCCUUCGGGUUGUAAACCGCUUUUGUCAGGAGAGAAAUCUCUUGGGCUAAUACCCUGAGAGGAUGACGGUACCUGAAGCAUAAGCACCGGCUAACUACGUGCCAGCAGCCGCGGUAAUACGUAGGGUGCAAACUUUGCUCGGAAUUACUGCGCGUAAAUGUGCAAGAGGCGUGUGAAAUCCCCGGGCUUAACCUGGGAACUGCACUUGUGACUGCACGGCUAGAGUACGGCAGAGGGGGAUGGAAUUCCGCGUGUAGCAGUGAAAUGCGUAGAUAUGCGGAGGAACACCGAUGGCGAAGGCAGUCCCCUGGGCCUGUACUGACGCUCAUGCACGAAAGCGUGGGGAGCAAACAGGAUUAGAUACCCGUGUAGUC
rnacentral:rRNA from 1 species